GGGUCGUUAGCUCAGUUGGUAGAGCAGUUGACUUUUAAUCAAUUGGUCGCAGGUUCGAAUCCUGCACGACCCACCAUCGCAGGUUCGAAUCCUGCACGACCCACCA
rnacentral:tRNA from 1 species